GCUGGUGGCAAUCUAGUCAGAAGAGGACCCCGCGCUUCACUAAUUUUCCCUUUUUGUCGUUCGGGGUGACUUCUUACCAGGGAUGUUAUUCUUGACCCCCCGGGGCAAACGGAGGCGUUCGCCUGGUCAGCGUCAGGAGCCAUCCUAACUGAGGCCUCGGCUUCCUCUUUUCCUUCGGUCGCCGUGGAUGUGCCGGACACCUCUGGCAGGACUAACCCUAGGGCUUUUAUGUCCAACGUGCUGUGCUGUGUGCCUGCAGAAUUGCCACGAGAGGAAAUACUUCAGAGGGGCUUCCCUCCAGAUAAGCCCUGAAUAUGCCGGGAGGUUUCAGCCGGGAGAAAGGAGCUGUGGAAGAAAAGCAGCCUAAAAAUAGCCAGUGGAGAUCAUCAGGUUUUCCAGCCAAGAAAAACAAGGAGGGAGAUGAGGGAAUCGGGUUCCAAUUCCUAAUGAUUUGGUGGGUGCAGGAAUG